rnacentral:tRNA from 1 species
GGGCCCAUAGCUCAGUUGGGAGAGCGCGGCGUUCGCAAUGCCGAGGUCGUCGGUUCGAGUCCGAUUGGGUCCA